rnacentral:rRNA from 2 species
GCAAGCGGUGUCCGGAUUUAUUGGGCGUAAAGCGAGCGCAGCGCGGGUUUUUUAAGUCUGAUGUGAAAGCCUUCGGCUCAACCGAAGAAGUGCAUCGGAAACUGGGAAACUUGAGUGCAGAAGAGGACAGUGGAACUCCAUGUGUAGCGGUGAAAUGCGUAGAUAUAUGGAAGAACACCAGUGGCGAAGGCGGGCUGUCUGGUCUGUAACUGACGCUGAGGCUCGAAAGUAUGGGUAGCAAACAGGAUUAGAUACCCUGGUAGUCCAUACCGUAAACGAUGAAUGCUAAGUGUUGGAGGGUUUCCGCCCUUCAGUGCUGCAGCUAACGCAUUAAGCAUUCCGCCUGGGGAGUACGGCCGCAAGUGUGAAACUCAAAGGAAUUGACGGGGGCCCGCACAAGCGUGGAAGCAUGUGGUUUAAUUCGAAGCUACGCGAAGAACCUUACCAGGCCUUGACAUACUAUGCAAUCUAAGAGAUUAGACGUUCCCUUCGGGGACAUGGAUACAGGUGGUGCAUGGUUGUCGUCAGCUCGUGUCGUGAGAUGUUGGGUUAAGUCCCGCAACGAGCGCAACCCUUAUUAUCAGUUGCCAGCAUUAAGUUGGGCACUCUGGUGAGACUGCCGGUGACAAACCGGAGGAAGGUGGGGAUGACGUCAAAUCAUCAUGCCCCUUAUGACCUGGGCUACACACGUGCUACAAUGGAUGGUACAACGGGUUGCGAACUCGCGAGAGUAAGCUAAUCUCUUAAAGCCAUUCUCAGUUCGGAUUGUAGGCUGCAACUGGCCUACAUGAAGUCGGAAUCGCGUAGUAAUCCCGGAUCAGCAUGCCG